GGAUUGUGGCUCAGUGGUAGAGCGCUUGCCUAGCAAGUGCAAGGCCCUGCGUUCAAUCCUCAGCACCA
rnacentral:tRNA from 1 species